UCCCUGGUCAUCUAGUUGCAAAGACUCUGAGCUCCCAAUGCAGAGGUCCCAGGUUCAAUCCCUGGUCAGGGAA
rnacentral:tRNA from 1 species